rnacentral:rRNA from 1 species
AUUGAACGCUGGCGGCAUGCUUAAUACAUGCAAGUCGAACGAUGAUGUCUAUGUUGGUAGACAGAUUAUUGGGGAACGGGUGAGAAAUGCUUAUGAAUCUGUCUAUUAUGGGGGGAUAACGUAAGUAAACUUCCGCUGCUACCGCAUACUACCUGGAGUGGACAGGUGGCUUUUACCUCUCGCUAAUAUAUGAUCCUACUUCGGAUUAGCUGGUUGGUGGGGUAAAGGCCUACCAAGGCAACGAUCUGUAGCUGGUCUGAGAGGAUGAUCACUCGCACUGGUGACUGAGACACGGUGCCAAACUCCUACGGGACGAAACUCCUGAGGAAUAUUGGACAAUGGGAAUAUUGCCUGAUGCAGCCAUGCCGUGUGUGAGAAUAACGCCUUUUGUGUUGUAAAGUCCUUUGAUUGGGGAGGUAUAUUUUAUGGUUAAAACCCAUGAUCCCUGACUUUACCCACCUAGUAAGCAUCUGCUAACUCUGUGCCGGCUAACUACGGUAAUACCGAGCGUGCAAGUCCUUAUCUGAAUUACUGUGUCCUGAUUUCUUCGUCGUGGUUAUAUAACAUGCAUGUGAAAGCCCCGGGCUUAACCUGGGAACUGCAUCUGAUACUGGAUAACUAGAGUAGUUGAGAGGGGAGUAGAAUUCCAGGUGUAGCGGUGAAAUGCGUAGAGAUCUGGAGGAAUACCGAUGGCGAAGGCAGCUCCCUGGCCUCAUACUGACACUGAGGCGCGAAAGCGUGGGUAGCAAACAGGAUUAGAUACCCUGGUAGUCCACGCCGUAAACGAUGACUGCCAGUCGUUGGGUCUUUUAAAGACUUAGUGACGCAGUUAACGCAAUAAGUAACUCGCCUGGGGAGUACGGCCGCCAGGUUAAAACUCAAAUGAAUUGGCGGGGGCCCGCCCCAGCGGUGGAGCACAGUGGUUUAAUUUGAUACACACGCGAAGAACCUUACCCGGUCCUGGCCAUGUUAGAAUCUCUCAGAGAAGCGAGAGUUCCUUUGGGAAUUCACAUACACAGUGCGGCACGGCUGUUUCUAACUCGUGUCGUGAGAAGUUGGGUUAAGUUCCGCAACGAGCGCAACCCUUUUCUUUAGUUACCACCCACUCGGUCGGGCACUCUAAGGAUACUGCCAGUGACAAACCGGAGGAAGGCGGGGACGACGUCAAGUCAUCAUGCCCCUUACGACCAGGGCUACACACGUGCUACAAUGGAUGGUACAAAGGGCUGCUACCCAGCGAGGUGAUGCUAAUCUCAAAAAGCCAAUCGUAGUCCGGAUUGCAGUCUGCAACUCGACUCCAUGAAGUCGGAAUCGCUAGUAAUCGCAGAUCAGAAUGUUGCGGUGAAUACGUUCCCGGGCCU